ACUUAAAUAGCUUAUAAAGAGUAUAAUAUUGAAGAUAUUAUGGAGAUUAUUUUGAUCUUUAAGUA
rnacentral:tRNA from 1 species